ensembl:lncRNA
CAGCUUCUGAAACCUAGAAACCUCUGCCCCUGGAAAAUGAUAACCACAGAGAGAAGUGAUAGGGUAAAGGAGGCUGAAGGAGGAUAAGCCACUGCCUGGGAGUCAUGGUAAUUAAUUACUAGAGAAGAAACAGUUUGACCUUAAAAGAUGCGGUAUGUUCUACACACAAUGGAAGGUAAAAUAACGCUGUCUCAGAGUUCAAACUCUACAGGACACAGAAGUUCCAAAAGACAGACUGGGGGCUGGCACAAAAUCAUGAAGCAUGAGACUGUCAGCCACAAGAACAGAAUUCCUAGUCCCGGGCGCAGCGCGAGCAGCCUGGCGGCGCGGACCCAGGCGCGGACGUGGAGACGCAGCGGCCGGGGCCGGGCAUGGGGCGGCCGGAGGGCGCCUUGGGCGGGCGGCCUGACUUGGCGGCAGGAUGCGCUCCGAGGGCGCGGCCCCCGGGCCGACAGCGCCGCUGUGCGGGGCUCUGAGCCUGGUGCUGGGCGCGCUGCUGGGCAGAGUCUCAGACUCUUACUUGAUAUCAGCAAUUCUGCGAAGAGUUGAACCAUGAAACAUAAAGAGAAGAAAAAACACCAGCAGAAGAAACCCUUAAAACAACCUGUGAAAAAGUCAAGGGGUACAAGAGGAAAGUUGGAUUUACAAGAUGUUCUGCAGGGUAGAGCCAAGGUACUGGCCCAUACUCAAGGCCACAAAGUGGCGGACAGUUCUUCCUCACCCUCAGAGGACUUCUCUUAUAAAGACAAAUUCUUGGAUGCAGGUCCUGGAUCCUGCAAGAGGCUUUUAAAUCAAGAUUUGAUGGAGAAGGAGAAUUUCUCCUCCAUGGCACAUUCUCAUUUACCUUCCUCCUUGGCCAAUAACCCCCUAGAGUCUGCAACAUCUACUGAAAAGAAAAGAGUCCUGAAUGUCUACUAUCAGCCUGUCCCAAUGAAAAGGGGUACGGCUUCCUUGGGGGAUACAGAAGAUGAUUUGGAGCCCCCCACAAAGAUGACAAGAAUAGCAAGAAUGACCUUUCCUGAGAAGAUCCCUUCAAAAGCCAGCCUCUCUUCUGUGUGCCUAAGAGAUGUCCUAACUGACAGUGAAAAUGGCCUGCCCGGGGAAGGGCAAGAGGAAAGGGAAGAGGCUGAGAAUCUGGCCCGGGAUUCGGUGCUGGAGGACCUGUACAGUGGCUUCAGGUGCAUGGGCUGCGACCAGGUCUUCCCCAAUAUGCGGAUGCUUAAGAAACACCUGGAGGAUGGGGUUGAGGGUGGUGCUUCAUGCCUUAGUCUUGCAUUUGCCAAACUAAGGAACAAAAUGAAGCAAAGCAAGAGAAUCACAGAGGGGGAGGAUGGGAAUAUGACAACAUCUGGAGGUGAUAUGGAGACACUUGUGAUGUUCUUGUUACUUGUGGCUUUUUGUUUUUUCUUUUACUAUUAUAAUAAAUAGAAAUUAAAUCAUAUGUUUCCGGAAGUAAUAAAUUAGAGACAAUAACACAAGAGGACACCAGAAAACUUUUCCAUCCACAAAAUAGCAGAAAAAAUAAGCAUCUUCACAAGCUAAGCCUUUGGUUAGUUUUUUUCUUUCCAUCUCUGUUCUCUCACCCACAUCAGCCUGCUGUUUCCAGAAUGGGUCUCAAGGUUUGUAUUUACCUUUGGUUUAUUAUUUAUUUUCAUUAGUACAUGUUGGUAGUGCAUAAAGUUUACAGACCUGGGGAGCAAUUGGUACAGGUACGUAACACAUCUUACACUUCCUUUUUAUCAUCCCCUUUCCCUCUCCUCCCACCCCACCCUCUCCGUCUUUUGAUCUUUUCCCUGUUUAGAAAGAUUUAUCCCUCUUCUUCCUAUCAUCUAUCUUUAUUUUGCUCUUUAUUUAUACUUUGGGUUUCUCAUACAAAAAAAAAAUCCAUGUGAUAUGUAAGCUUAUGUGUCUGAUUUAUCUCACUGAACAUUAUGGUCUCAAGAUGCUUUAAUUUUUUUUUUACAAAUGACUCAAGUUUAUCAUUCCUUAUGGUAGAGUAGUACUCAAUUGUGUUUAAAAACCACAUUUAAUUUAUCUAUUCUUCUGUUGAUGGACAUAUGGGCUACUUCCAAUGUUUAGCUAUUAUGAAUUGUGUUGCUGUAUACAUGGGUCUGCAUGGGUCACUGUAAUGUCUUUGACUCUUUGCGAAGACAUCUAGAAGGGGAAUAGCUGGAUCAAGUAGAAUUUCUAGUUUCAGUUUUGUGAGGAAUCUCCAUACUAGUUUUCAGCCCACUUGUCUCUGCUGGAUAUAGGCCACAGGCCAGGGGUUCAUGUGGGCUGUUAGAUUCAAUGUCCUUUGUCAUAGAAAAAGAUUCCCUUCUUUCAACUGUUUUUUCCAUUACUAGGAUGUGUUGUCCAUUCAGAAGCACAGCUAGUACUUAGAGUAGCACUAGUUUGCUUAGGAUGAAUACAAGCUUUUGUAAAUGCCUACCGUCCUUUGCAUGUAUUCACCCAAUACUAUUUCUCAGUAUUCUCCCAGGUUGGCAGAAAUUACAUGACUUUUGCAGUAGCCUAAAAAAUGGAAUCUUGUUACUAAAUUACUUUUCUUCAUUCUUCAAUAAAAACACACUUAUAUUUCUGAAUUUGUGGAUUACUA